rnacentral:rRNA from 1 species
CAGUAGCCGCGGGAAUACGUAGGGUGCAAGCGUUAAUCGGAAUUACUGGGCGUAAAGCGUGCGCAGGCGGUUUGUUAAGACAGAUGUGAGAUCCCCGGGCUCAACCUGGGAACUGCACUUGUGACUGGCAAGCUAGAGUGUGGCAGAGGGGGGUGGAAUUCCGCGUGUAGCAGUGAAAUGCGUAGAUAUGCGGAGGAACACCGAUGGCGAAGGCAGCCCCCUGGGCCAACACUGACGCUCAUGCACGAAAGCGUGGGGAGCAAACAGGAUUAGAUACCCCGGUAGUCCCUGUCUCUUAUAC